rnacentral:rRNA from 1 species
CAGCCGCCGCGGUAAUACGAAGGGGGCUAGCGUUGUUCGGAAUUACUGGGCGUAAAGCGCACGUAGGCGGAUAUUUAAGUCAGGGGUGAAAUCCCAGAGCUCAACUCUGGAACUGCCUUUGAUACUGGGUAUCUUGAGUAUGGAAGAGGUGAGUGGAAUUCCGAGUGUAGAGGUGAAAUUCGUAGAUAUUGGGAAGAAUACCGGUGGCGAAGGCGGCGACCUGGUCCUUGACUGACGCUGAGGCGCGAAAGCGUGGGGAGCAAACAGGAUUAGAUACCCGGGUAGUCCCUGUCUCUUAUAC